AGGACGAACGCUGGCGGUGUGCUUCAUACAUGCAAGUCGAACGAGAAAUUCACUUCGGUGGAUGGAAAGUGGCGGACGGGUGAGUAAAAUGUAGAGAAUCUGCCCUAGAGAGGGGGACAACAGAGGGAAACUUCUGCUAAUACCCCAUAUGAGUGUACCUGAAAUGGUAUUCUUGAAAACUCCGGUGCUCUAGGAUGAGUCUGCAUCUGAUUAGCUAGUUGGGGGUGUAAUGGACCACCAAGGCGACGAUCAGUAGCUGGUUUGAGAGGAUGAUCAGCCACAAUGGGACUGAGACACGGCCCAUACUCCUACGGGAGGCAGCAGUAGGGAAUUUUGCGCAAUGGGGGAAACCCUGACGCAAGCAACGCCGCGUGAUUGAAGAAGCCCUUCGGGGUGUAAAGAUCUGUCAGUGGGGACGAAAGAUGACGGUACCCACAGAGGAAGCAUCGGCUAACUCCGUGCCAGCAGCCGC
rnacentral:rRNA from 1 species